rnacentral:snRNA from 1 species
GUGCUCACUUCAACAGCAUAUAUACUAAAACUGAAAUGAUACAGGGAAGAUUCGCAUGGCCCUGUGCAAGGAUGACAAAUGUGGAACAUUGCAUAUGUGU